UACGGGGGGGGCAAGCGUUGUUCGGAAUUACUGGGCGGAAAGGGCUCGUAGGCGGCCAACUAAGUCGGAUGUGAAAUCCCCAGGCUUAACCUGGGAACUGCAUCCGAUACUGGAUGGCUUGAAUCCGGGAGAGGGAUGCAGAAUUCCAGGUGUAGCGGUGAAAUGCGUAGAUAUCUGGAGGAAUACCGGUGGCGAAGGCGGCAUCCUGGACCGGCAUUGACGCUGAGGAGCGAAAGCUAGGGGAGCAAACGGG
rnacentral:rRNA from 1 species